GCUAUUUGUUAAGCCGAAAUAUUUGUCAACACGAUUUAUUAACAACAUCUUCGUAUUAUACCAUCUUAUAUUAGUAUCGUUGUGCAAAUCUCUAGACUUAUAUAUAUAUAUAUAUAUAUAUAUAUUGUAUUUUCAAUGCGUAUACAUCUAUAGCACCAUCUACGAAAACUACACAAAGUUCAAAGAUGACUUUACGACAAUAUUACAGAUUAAUCCUUUGUCUAAUUGGAUUCAAUGUCCGUGGGGAACAAGUUUCAUUAAACCUGGUGACAAAUACUAUUUUAAUUGGACAAGAUGUCGUACUGACCUGCAUUGUCCAUGGAAUACAAACAAUAGACAGAAAAACGACCAGACAGUGGUCCAUGGGAGACGAUGACGAACUUAUAUGUUACAAUGGCCGAAUAAAUAAUCUUAGAAAGUAUGGCGAGAAGAUACUUUUUGGAAAUGAGUUUUGUCUUACAAUAUUCAAUAUAACAGUUGCGGACCUCAACAAAGUCUAUCAAUGUCGUUAUGGAUUUAAUGCAGCAAGUAAAUUAAUUGAGGUAGAUAAACCCAAAUCAUUUUUAUCAUUAAGAUU